GCGUGGCCCUCUUCUAGACGCAAGUUGGUGUUUAAUCAUUCGAAUCUGGAUGAUCAUCAGUUUCCCCUUGUUUUUAACUCUUCUGUACUGCUCCAUUCACUUCGGCAUGUUUAAGAUGAACUACUUCCCAAAAAACACAGGCUCCACAAUGGCAGAGACUAUGUUGCCUUUCUUAUUCCCUGUUCUAUGCCAGCCUUGGAAUGGUGUCCAGACAGUCACUCAAGGUGACAUCAAUGAAGUAAGUUAGAGGGGGAAAAAAAUCCACCUUGAUUUCCUGGGCUGCCAAUCUAAGACUAAAGGCAAAUCUGAUGAAGAAGAAUUCUUCCCCGGGUGGGCCUGUUUAUGUUCAAGCCUAGACUGCCUUCCUCUCUGCCUGUCUCCCAAGGUCACCAGAAGGCUCUGAAACCAGAUUCAACUUCAGACGAUUCCUGGUAAAAUCCUUGGACUUGAUGCUUAUUUCACAGUGCAUAUUUUCUAGGUGAUUUUGUAUCCUGAAGUUAUUUAGUUGUAUUUAGGACUUCAUGCUUACCAAGAAGAAGAGGAAAGAAGUCAAACUCUAUACAGCCCACCACCAUGGACAGCCCUUAGAAUAAAGUAAAGAAAGAUGGUU